UACGGAGGAUGCGAGCGUUAUCCGGAUUUAUUGGGUUUAAAGGGUGCGCAGGCGGCACGGCAAGCCGGCGGUCAAAUCGCGGGGCUCAACCCCGCCCAGCCGUCGGAACUGCCGGGCUAGAGUGGGCGAGAAGUGCGCGGAAUGCGUGGUGUAGCGGUGAAAUGCAUAGAUAUCACGCAGAACUCCGAUUGCGAAGGCAGCGCACCGGCGCCCUACUGACGCUCAGGCACGAAAGCGUGGGUAUCGAACGGG
rnacentral:rRNA from 1 species